rnacentral:rRNA from 1 species
AACGUAGGAGGCAAGCGUUAUCCGGAUUUACUGGGCGUAAAGCGCGUGCAGGCGGUUCCAUAAGUGGGAUGUGAAAGCUCCUGGCUCAACUGGGAGAGGUCGUUCCAGACUGUGGGACUGGAGGAUGGUAGAGGGAGGUGGAAUUCCGGGUGUAGUGGUGAAAUGCGUAGAGAUCCGGAGGAACACCAGUGGCGAAGGCGACACGCUGGGCCGUACCUGACGCUAAAGCGCGACAGCAUGGGGAGCAAACGGGG